CGGAUUGUAGUCUGNAACCCGACUACAUGAAGCUGGAAUCGCUAGUAAUCGCAGGUCAGCAUACUGCGGUGAAUACGUUCCCGGGCCUUGUACACACCGCCCGUCACACCAUGGGAGCCGGAAAUGCCCGAAGCCAGUGACCCAACCUUAGGGAGGGAGCUGUCGAAGGUGGAGCCGGUAACUGGGGUGAAGUCGUAACAAGGUAAC
rnacentral:rRNA from 1 species